rnacentral:tRNA from 1 species
GCUCAGUGGUACAGCACUUGCCUGGCAUGCAUGAUGAUCUGGGUUUGAUCCCCAG